rnacentral:rRNA from 1 species
GACGAACGCUGGCGGCGUGCUUAACACAUGCAAGUCGAACGGAAAGGCCCUGCUUUUGUGGGGUGCUCGAGUGGCGAACGGGUGAGUAACACGUGAGUAACCUGCCCUUGACUUUGGGAUAACUUCAGGAAACUGGGGCUAAUACCGGAUAGGAGCUCCUGGAGCAUGGUGGGGGUUGGAAAGUUUCGGCGGUUGGGGAUGGACUCGCGGCUUAUGAGCUUGUUGGUGGGGUAGGGGCGUACAAAGGCUUCGAAGGGUAGCCGGCCUGAGAGGGUGACCAGCCACAUUGGGACUGAGAUACGGCCCAGACUCCUACGGGAGGCAGCAGUGGGGAAUAUUGCACAAUGGGCGGAAGCCUGAGGCAGCAACGCCGCGUGCGGGAUGACGGCCUUCGGGGUGUAAACCGCUGUCGCCUGUGACGAAGCGUGAGUGACGGUAAUGGGUAAAGAAGCACCGGCUAACUACGUG